UAAUGCAGCUGGAUGCAAUCAGGUGAUUGGAUUCAUAAAUAUCACCCUGUGGAAUAGCCAGUGAGGCUGCAAACUGCAGUUAGAUUCUAGGGAAAAGUUAUAGGCUGCUUUUAAAAUUUGGUCCUAAAUGUAUUUCUGAAAUUUUUGGAAAGAAAAAAAAGUAUGUAUCAAUUUGCUGCUGAUGAAAGGGAGUCUAACAGCACCAGGUGUACUCUGUCACUACAGUUCUCAAACUUAGAUGCUGCUGAUACCUCUGCACUUCAUCACCACAGUAUCUCUGUCACCUCAGCACCCCCACCUGUGUCCUGUCUGGCAGGAGAUGUCUCUGGAGGAAUGGAAGCUCCAGGCCCCUCCCUUCAGGAGCUAAUGUCAGCAGGGAGGUCCCCCUCGCUCCUGUAUCUGAAUACUUCCCAUGAUUGAACUGAGUUGCAGAACACCUGUGUGUGGUAGAGAAGUAUUAUCUUCAUUUGAGAAUGGAAUAGUGAGGCAGGAAGAUUAAAUGGUGUGCCCAAUGUCACACAAAAAGUCUAUGGCAGAGCUGCCUCCAGAUUCCCAGUCCAGCAACUUAACCACAAAAUCACCCUUCUUUUCAAAUACACAAUGUCCCAUGACCUAUAUCUUUUAAGGCUUGAUGCAUGUGAGUAGGUGAAAAGUAUGUUUUCAAAUGCAAUUAUCUUUCAAUUUGUGAUUUUUUGCUAUAAAUACUGUGUAAUAGUUUUAAGGAACACUAAGCUUUGUCCUUUAUUUCCUUGAAAUAUAGCUGGUUACCCUUUUGACAGUGUCCCUUUUAAAGAACACAUUUAAACCUUUUCUGACUGUGUGUAUGGGUUAGGGUAAAGGGUUCCUAAAGGAAUUUCAAACAACCUAGACAUCUAAAACUAUCUUGGGCUAAAUCGUACAAAACCAGCAACAUUUAUUUAUUCAUGUCCAAAGACUCCAUUUAAUGGUAGCUUCCAGCUUUUCUCUCCCAGCUGAAGCAACAGAAUUGCUAUUCCUCAGGAUGGACUAGCAAUUUUGAAUUGAUUUUAAAGGCUCAAUUAGGGGCUACAUAACAGCCCCAUGGCUAAUUCCCAACAAGAUAGAAGUUUACAGCAUAGCAUUAACUGCUCUAUUUCUUUUAGGUCAACUAUUGUGUAAGAGGUUAUUUUACCUUGAAAAGCAGCCAGAUUUAUCCCGAGGCAGCAAAGCUGCCAUUCAGAAUUAAAUGGAACCUGGAAUGUACUACCAAGUUAAAAUUCACAUUUAAUUACAUGCAUUAACAACCUUAUUAAAGUAGACCUAAUUUCAAAAAUCUUACUGCUCACCAGUUUUUAGGGUUGGUUUUUGUAUUUUUUUUUCUCCACUUGGGCAAUGAAAAUAAAUAGUCUGGUCAGUUUUACUUUUGUUUAGUCAGUUUAAUCAUUUUCAUGUUCUCUUGCACUGGUGAGCUGUUGCAAAUGUUGUAGUUACAUGCGUUGCAGGGGAAUAUUUUUGGUGGGGGUUGUUUUGUUUUGUUUUUUAUCAAAACUGAUUCCACUGAAACUUUUUUUUUUUUUAAAUUGUGUAUCCAUUUCUAUUCCUAUUCUGUUGCUUGCUUUUAAAAUUUGAAAGUGGGCCUAAGUAGACUUGACAAUGCUCCCUUUAAAAUGUUUUCAUAUUGAUUUUUUUUUUUAAAUUGACACAAUACCGGAUCUAUGGUGCAUCCAAUUUCAGAAAGCUUUUGCCUUUUAAUGCAAUAAAUUUGAUUGGUACAUAAUAGUUGAAUUAGCUUUUGCAAUAAGUGUAAUUUUAUGUAAAGGAAGUAACACUUAAUGCUUAACAUUUCACAAAGCACUACUCAUAUAUUAACUAAUUAACCCUUCCACCAUCCAUUGAAGCAGGGUAACAUUGCAUAUUUUACAAAUGGAGAAACUGAGACAAAAGUUAAGGAUGGGAUCUUCAGAAGAGCUCCGCACUGGCCUAAUUCAUAUCACAUUACUUCCCAACAGUAAGUACCUAGGCCUGAAUCCAUAAAAGGCCUUAGGUGUUGUGAUGCAGAGCAUUGCAAUGCCAGCUAGGUACCUAGAAAAAUCACAGGAACACCACUGCAAUCCACAAAGCCUGAGGUAGGGACCUCAGAAUGCAAGCCUCAAAGCCAGUAUGCUAAGCCGCAGGCAGCCACAGGGAAAUGUGCACAAAAGGGAUGUGCCCUAACUCCCACUUCUGACAUGAAGAGAGAUACUUAAGUCUGAACUAGUGAUCCAUGAAGUGGGGGAAGAUGGACACUUCUCUGCCUAAAUUUUGUGUAGUGCGUGAACUAGUAGGCUAGCCAUAUCUACAACAGCUAGGG